rnacentral:rRNA from 1 species
GCCUAUGGCCAUACCACCCUGAACACUGCCGAUCUCAUCUGAUCUUGGAAGCUAAGCAGGGCCAUGCCUGAUUAGUAUUUCGAUGGGAGACUGCCUGGGAAUACCGGGUGCUAUAGGUU